ACCAAAAUCCUUCCUUCCCCUUUCUCGCGACAGCGCAUUUCUGUGUGGUCAGAAAGGGGUGACGACGGGGCCUAGGUCUUCACUCCGGCGGUCGGCGAGGGACUCUUUCCGAAAGAGCUUCACGGAAUCGGGAUCACCUCGGCAAGGAGCGCCGUGAGCACGAAGGGGAAGCCGAGAUCUCCGUCUCUUCGAAACCCUAGAACCUCCUUCCUCCUUCGGUUGUAAGUCCAAGAACGCUAGAUAAAGGAAGACGAGGAGGAGGUGCGGAUGGUGUGUGAUGCCAGGACAAUGGAAGAGACUUGGGAUAUUAUUAAGUUUCCGCAGUUUAGUAAUUAAUAAACAUUUGAAGUUGUAUUUCAUGUUCAUGUCAUUUGAGAUCCUUUUGUUUAGAUUGCAUGGAAAUGAGUUCUGUUUAGUAAGUA